rnacentral:rRNA from 1 species
CGUGUAGGCGGUCCGGUAAGUCGGCUGUGAAAGUCCAGGGCUCAACCCCUGGGAUGCCGGUCGAUACUGCCGGACUAGAGUUCGGAAGAGGCGAGUGGAAUUCCCGGUGUAGCGGUGAAAUGCGCAGAUAUCGGGAGGAACACCUAUGGCGAAGGCAGCUCGCUGGGACGUUACUGACGCUGAGACGCGAAAGCGUGGGGAGCAAACA